UACGUAGGUGGCAAGCGUUGUCCGGAAUUAUUGGGCGUAAAGCGCGCGCAGGUGGUUCUUUAAGUCUGAUGUGAAAGCCCACGGCUCAACCGUGGAGGGUCAUUGGAAACUGGGGAACUUGAGUGCAGAAGAGGAUAGUGGAAUUCCCGGUGUAGUGGUGAAAUGCGUAGAUAUCGGGAGGAACACCAGUGGCGAAGGCGACUACCUGGCCUGUUCUUGACGCUGAGGCGCGAAAGCUAGGGGAGCAAACGGG
rnacentral:rRNA from 1 species